ACCUGAGUGGCUCAGUGGUUGAGCGUCUGCCUUCAGCUCAGGUCAUGAUCCUGGGAUCGAGUCCCACAUCAGGCU
rfam:Canis lupus familiaris chromosome 26, whole genome shotgun sequence.